rnacentral:rRNA from 1 species
AUUGAACGCUGGCAGCAGGCCUAACACAUGCAAGUCGAGCGGCAGCGGGAAAGUAGCUUGCUACUUUUGCCGGCGAGCGGCGGACGGGUGAGUAAUGCCUGGGGAUCUGCCCAGUCGAGGGGGAUAACAGUUGGAAACGACUGCUAAUACCGCAUACGCCCUACGGGGGAAAGGAGGGGACCUUCGGGCCUUUCGCGAUUGGAUGAACCCAGGUGGGAUUAGCUAGUUGGUGGGGUAAUGGCUCACCAAGGCGACGAUCCCUAGCUGGUCUGGGAGGAUGAUCAGCCACACUGGAACUGAGACACGGUCCAGACUCCUACGGGAGGCAGCAGUGGGGAAUAUUGCACAAUGGGGGAAACCCUGAUGCAGCCAUGCCGCGUGUGUGAAGAAGGCCUUCGGGUUGUAAAGCACUUUCAGCGAGGAGGAAAGGUUGGCGCCUAAUACGUGUCAACUGUGACGUUACUCGCAGAAGAAGCACCGGCUAACUCCGUGCCAGCCGCCGCCGUAA